CUCUUGCUUUGGUUCUCAGACUAUUGAAGUGGACACCAAGGGAAUGGAAAAGGAAAAGAAUGAAGCUCUGGUGUCAUCUGGUGACAAUACAAAGGACAAAGGGCAAGGAAUACAGACGGAGAAGCCGCUUAGAGUCUAGGAUGGCAGAGGUUCUCUUGAUCAUUUCAUUUUUGAGCGCUUGUAGAGCUUUGGUGUACCAGAGGUGCUUGAACAGCUUACCACACCACAGAUGAAUGGCCUUUGGAUUUCUCCUAAGAAAAUGGU
rnacentral:lncRNA from 1 species